rnacentral:lncRNA from 1 species
UGGUCGAUAAUUUACUGCAGUGAAUAUUCCUUAUUUAUAUAGUUUGGAUCGAUAAUAUAUAUACUGAAGUAAAAUAUAACUUGUUCGUUUAGUUCGAUAAUCUGCCACAGAGCACCAUUUUAUAUUCGUGUAGUUUGGGUCGAUAAUCAACUGUCGUGUACUAGUCCUUGUUCUUGCAGAUUUGGUCGAUGAUCUUUUGCGUCUUGUUCCUUGUUCAUGUAGUUUUGGUUGAUAAUCUACUAUUGUGUACUGUUUCUUGUUCAUGUAGUUUAUUUUGAUUAUCUACAGCAGUGAACUAUCUCUUGUGCAUGUAGUGCAUGUCGAUAAUCUACUGAAGUGUACUAGUCCUUGUUCAUGUAGUUUAGGUAGACAAUCUUCUACCGUGUUCUAGUUCUUGUUCUUGCAGAUUUGGUCGAUAAUCUAUUGACUUUUUCUUGUGUCUUGUUCCUUGGUCAUGUAGGUUUGGUCGAUAAUCUACUGUUGUGUACUGUUCCUUAUUCAUGAAGUUUAUGUCGAUAAUCUAUUUCAGUGUACUUGUCCUUGUUAGUGUAGUUUAGGUCUAUAGUCGUCUGCAGCGAUGUAGUCCUUUUUCAUAUAGUUUAGGUCGAUAUUUUACUGCAGUGUAAUAUUCCUUAUUCAUAUUUGAGCUUGUCCAUGUAUUUAAGGUUGAUGAUCUACUAUAGUUAAGUAUUCUACUCCUUGUUCGUGUAUGUCUAUAUGUCACAGUGUACUAUUU